rnacentral:lncRNA from 1 species
CGGGUGGAUGGGAACAAACUUCCGAAGGAGAGACUUGGGCCCAGGACGCUCCCGCAGGCGGCCCCAGGUGUAACGGGGCAGGCCGGGGCCACCGCGGGAGAGGGCCCGAGCGGGGUUCGGCGCUUCCUCCCCUGACGGCGGAGCUGCACCCCGGCAAGCCCCGG